rnacentral:rRNA from 1 species
UACGUAGGGUGCGAGCGUUGUCCGGAAUUAUUGGGCGUAAAGGGCUCGUAGGCGGUUUGUCGCGUCGGGAGUGAAAACCUCGGGCUUAACUCGGGGCUUGCUUUCGAUACGGGCAGACUGGAGGUAUGCAGGGAGAACGGAAUUCCUGGUGUAGCGGUGAAAUUCGUAGAUAUUCGGAAGAACACCAGUGGCGAAGGCGGCUCACUGGUCCGGUACUGACGCUGAGGUGCGAAAGCGUGGGAGCAAACAGG